UACGAAGGGGGCUAGCGUUGUUCGGAAUCACUGGGCGUAAAGCGCAUGCAGGCGGAUCGAUAAGUCGGGGGUGAAAUCCCCAGGCUUAACCUGGGAACUGCAUUCGAGACUGCAUUGCUAGAGUAUGGGAGAGGGAAGUGGAAUUUCCGGUGUAGCGGUGAAAUGCGUAGAUAUCGGAAGGAACAUCAGUGGCGAAAGCGACUUCCUGGACCAAUACUGACGCUCAUGUGCGAAAGCGUGGGGAGCAAACAGG
rnacentral:rRNA from 1 species